rnacentral:lncRNA from 1 species
CUUUAUAUUACUAAAUCUAAUUUUUCUUCUUGUGAAGAUCCUAGAUGGUAUCUCUCCAUAGUCUAGGGGAGGGUUUUCUUUCUUGUUGCAGGAGUACAGUGCAAAAACUUUCAUUGAGAGAUAAUCGGUAAAAUCGAGAAGUAAUUUGAUCAAUGUUAUAAAGAAAUUGUUCACAUAGGCAUAUAUGUUUUUCCACGCUGGGUGUGUGUGAGUAUGGGAAUAGAGGUUCUGAUUGUACCAAUCAUUGUGUGAAAUGUUCUUAGUUGUAGCAUCCUCUUGGAGGUAACUAGUAAGCAACUUAUUCUAAUUUGAGCAUGCAGAUUGCUGAUAAAUCAUGGGUGCAUCAUUGCUUUUAAGAAGUCUGGCAAUCUUUCUUUGGGAUUAGUGGGAAGCAAGGUGCAGUUUUGUAUUUAACUGAAGAUUUCACAUGACAGCUUUUUGGCUAGUCUUCCUUCAGACGUCUGGAU